rnacentral:tRNA from 1 species
GCAGAUGUGGUGUAACUGGCCAGCAUUAAGAUUUGGUAUGUCUUAGAUGCGGGUUCAAUCCCCGCCGUCUGCU